rnacentral:rRNA from 2 species
AAACUUUUAACAACGGAUCUCUUGGCUCCAGCAUCGAUGAAGAACGCAGCGAAACGCGAUAUGUAAUGUGAAUUGCAGAAUUCAGUGAAUCAUCGAAUCUUUGAACGCACAUGGCGCCUUCCAGUAUCCUGGGAGGCAUGCCUGUCCGAGCGUCGUUUCAACCCUCGAGCCCUCGUGGCCCGGCGUUGGGG